UGGCAGACGGGUGAGUAACGCGUGGGAAUCUACUCAAUUCUUCGGAACAACACAUGGAAACGUGUGCUAAUACCGAAUGAGCCCUUCGGGGGAAAGAUUUAUCGGAAUUGGAUGAGCCCGCGUUGGAUUAGCUAGUUGGUGGGGUAAAGGCCUACCAAGGCGACGAUCCAUAGCUGGUCUGAGAGGAUGAUCAGCCACACUGGGACUGAGACACGGCCCAGACUCCUACGGGAGGCAGCAGUGGGGAAUAUUGGACAAUGGGCGCAAGCCUGAUCCAGCCAUGCCGCGUGAGUGAUGAAGGUCUUAGGAUUGUAAAGCUCUUUCACCGGUGAAGAUAAUGACGGUAACCGGAGAAGAAGCCCCGGCUAACUUCGUGCCAGCAGCCGCGGUAAUACGAAGGGGGCUAGCGUUGUUCGGAUUUACUGGGCGUAAAGCGCACGUAGGCGGACUUUUAAGUCAGGGGUGAAAUCCCGGGGCUCAACCCCGGAACUGCCUUUGAUAC
rnacentral:rRNA from 1 species